GAACGCUAGCUACAGGCUUAACACAUGCAAGUCGAGGGGAAACGACAUCGAAAGCUUGCUUUUGAUGGGCGUCGACCGGCGCACGGGUGAGUAACGCGUAUCCAACCUGCCCACCACUUGGGGAUAACCUUGCGAAAGUAAGACUAAUACCCAAUGAUAUCUCUAGAAGACAUCUGAAAGAGAUUAAAGAUUUAUCGGUGAUGGAUGGGGAUGCGUCUGAUUAGCUUGUUGGCGGGGUAACGGCUCACCAAGGCGACGAUCAGUAGGGGUUCUGAGAGGAAGGUCCCCCACAUUGGAACUGAGACACGGUCCAAACUCCUACGGGAGGCAGCAGUGAGGAAUAUUGGUCAAUGGACGAGAGUCUGAACCAGCCAAGUAGCGUGCAGGAUGACGGCCCUAUGGGUUGUAAACUGCUUUUAUAAGGGAAUAAAGUGAGUCUCGUGAGACUUUUUGCAUGUACCUUAUGAAUAAGGACCGGCUAAUUCCGUGCCAGCAGCCGCGGUAAUACGGAAGGUCCGGGCGUUAUCCGGAUUUAUUGGGUUUAAAGGGAGCGUAGGCCGGAGAUUAAGCGUGUUGUGAAAUGUAGACGCUCAACGUCUGCACUGCAGCGCGAACUGUCUUCCUUGAGUACGCACAAAGUGGGCGGAAUUCGUGGUGUAGCGGUGAAAUGCUUAGAUAUCACGAAGAACUCCGAUUGCGAAGGCAGCUCACUGGAGCGCAACUGACGCUGAAGCUCGAAAGUGCGGGUAUCGAACAGGAUUAGAUACCCUGGUAGUCCGCACGGUAAACGAUGGAUGCCCGCUGUUGGUCUGAAUAGGUCAGCGGCCAAGCGAAAGCAUUAAGCAUCCCACCUGGGGAGUACGCCGGCAACGGUGAAAC
rnacentral:rRNA from 1 species